UACGUAGGGUGCGAGCGUUGUCCGGAAUUAUUGGGCGUAAAGGGCUCGUAGGCGGUUUGUCGCGUCGGGAGUGAAAACACCGGGCUUAACUCGGUGCUUGCUUUCGAUACGGGCAGACUAGAGGCAUGCAGGGGAGAACGGAAUUCCUGGUGUAGCGGUGAAAUGCGCAGAUAUCAGGAGGAACACCAGUGGCGAAGGCGCCGCUCUGGGCCGUGACUGACGCUGAGGAGCGAAAGCGUGGGUAGCAAACAGG
rnacentral:rRNA from 1 species